UGGCGACCGGCGCACGGGUGAGUAACACGUAUCCAACCUGCCGAUGACUCGGGGAUAGCCUUUCGAAAGAAAGAUUAAUACCCGAUGGCAUAGUUCUUCCGCAUGGUAGAACUAUUAAAGAAUUUCGGUCAUCGAUGGGGAUGCGUUCCAUUAGCUUGUUGGCGGGGUAACGGCCCGCCAAGGCAUCGAUGGAUAGGGGUUCUGAGAGGAAGGUCCCCCACAUUGGAACUGAGACACGGUCCAAACUCCUACGGAAGGCAGCAG
rnacentral:rRNA from 1 species